GAUGAAGAACGUAGCGAAAUGCGAUACGUAAUGUGAAUCGCAGAACUCAGUGAACCAUCGAAUCUUUGAACGCACAUUGCGCCCGCCAGCACUCUGGCGGGCAUGCCUGUCCGAGCGUCAUUUCAACCCUCAAGCCCUGCUUGGUGUUGGGGACGACCGCCCCCGGGCGCGUCGCCCCUGAAAUGGAGUGGCGGUCCCGCCGGGAACCUCUGCGCAGUAGCACAACUCGCACGGGGAGCCGGCGCGGCCCACGCCCAACCAAACGUACCCAUCGAUUGACCUCGGAUCAGGUAGGAAUACCCGCUGAACUUAAGCAUAUCAAUAAGCGGAGGA
rnacentral:misc_RNA from 1 species